ACGCUCGACACCUAUGGAGGCAGCAGUCGGGAAUAUUGCGCAAUGGAGGAAACUCUGACGCAGUGACGCCGCGUGCAGGAAGAAGGUUUUCGGAUUGUAAACUGCUUUAGACAGGGAAGAAAGAAAUGACAGUACCUGUAGAAUAAGCUCCGGCUAACUACGUGCUAGCAGCCGCAGUAAUCUGAGCGGGCUGGCAAGGC
rnacentral:rRNA from 1 species